UACGGAGGGGACUAGCGUUGUUCGGAAUUACUGGGCGUAAAGCGCACGUAGGCGGAUUUGUAAGUCAGGGGUGAAAUCCCGGGGCUCAACCUCGGAACUGCCUUCGAUACUGCGAAUCUCGAGUCCGGAAGAGGUGAGUGGAAUUCCUAGUGUAGAGGUGAAAUUCGUAGAUAUUAGGAAGAACACCAGUGGCGAAGGCGGCUCACUGGUCCGGUACUGACGCUGAGGUGCGAAAGCGUGGGGAGCAAACAGG
rnacentral:rRNA from 1 species